rnacentral:lncRNA from 1 species
AUGCCUGCAACUCCUCGUUCCACUGCAUGUCCUCUAUCUCCACAUCGUCGUACGACAUUGUUAGGUUUAUCAAACCUGUAAUUUGUUUGUUAGGUUGUCCUCUAUUGAUUUUUGUUUUUUUUUUUGGGCAGAAAAGGAGAGAAACUUUGGCGUCAGCCUAUACACAAACGCCAAAAGCCAAAGCAAGGACGAACAGAGCUUUUUAUGGCAGAGAUUACUGAGUUGAGUCUCUUAUAAAGGGGAAAUCUUUAGGGUUUUCGUUUUGAAUUUACAUGGGCUUAAACUAAGUUAUUCAAACUGCUUUGAACUUUGUAGAAGCAAGGCGAGAAAAGGAGAGAUUUGAGGUUGUCGGGUACCAAGUAUUUAUAGACCUUGGACAAUCCCUGCCCUGUCCUUGGCCAUAUGUGCGGAUCCAAA